GGCUAACGCUGGCGGCGUGUCUUAGCCAUGCAAGUCGAGCGGACUUAUGGGGUAACUUAUAAGUCAGCGGCGGACGGCGGAGUAACACGUAGCUAACCUACCCUCUGGACGGGGAUAACCUACCGAAAGGUGGGCUAAUACCCGAUGUAGUCAUCCUGUAUAGGGGUGAUGAAAGGUGGGCUUCUGUUUACAAGCUCAUGCUGGAGGAGGGGGCUGCGGCCUAUCAGGUAGUUGGUGAGGUAACGGCUCACCAAGCCGAAGACGGGUAACCGGUCUGAGAGGAUGUCCGGUCACACUGGGACUGAGACACGGCCCAGACUCCUACGGGAGGCAGCAGCAGGGAAUCUUGGGCAAUGGGCGAAAGCCUGACCCAGCGACGCCGCGUGGAGGAAGAAGUCCUUCGGGGCGUAAACUCCUGGACUGGGGGACGAGGAAGGACGGUACCCCAGUAGAAAGGGACGGCUAACUACGUG
rnacentral:rRNA from 1 species